rnacentral:rRNA from 1 species
GACGAACGCUGGUGGCGUGCUUAACACAUGCAAGUCGAACGGAAAGGCCCUGCUUUUGUGGGGUGCUCGAGUGGCGAACGGGUGAGUAACACGUGAGUAACCUGCCCUUGACUUUGGGAUAACUUCAGGAAACUGGGGCUAAUACCGGAUAGGAGCUCCUGCUGCAUGGUGGGGGUUGGAAAGUUUCGGCGGUUGGGGAUGGACUCGCGGCUUAUCAGCUUGUUGGUGGGGUAGUGGCUUACCAAGGCUUUGACGGGUAGCCGGCCUGAGAGGGUGACCGGCCACAUUGGGACUGAGAUACGGCCCAGACUCCUACGGGAGGCAGCAGUGGGGAAUAUUGCACAAUGGGCGGAGGCCUGAUGCAGCAACGCCGCGUGCGGGAUGACGGCCUUCGGGUUGUAAACCGCUUUCGCCUGUGACGAAGCGUGAGUGACGGUAAUGGGUAAAGAAGCACCGGCUAACUACGUG